AUAGUAACUCCGCCUAUGUCUUCUCGGCAAUCGGCAUAGCCGGUCCCAAGCCCGGGUAAAGGAGGAGGGUUGU
rnacentral:ribozyme from 2 species